UACAGAGGGUGCAAGCGUUGUUCGGAAUUAUUGGGCGUAAAGGGUGCGUAGGUGGCGCCAUAAGUCAGGUGUGAAAUCUCGGGGCUCAACCCCGAAACUGCACUUGAUACUGUGGUGCUCGAGUACUGGAGAGGAGAUUGGAAUUUACGGUGUAGCAGUGAAAUGCGUAGAUAUCGUAAGGAAGACCAGUGGCGAAGGCGAAUCUCUGGACAGUUACUGACACUGAGGCACGAAGGCCAGGGGAGCAAACGGG
rnacentral:rRNA from 1 species